rnacentral:rRNA from 1 species
AUUGAACGCUGGCGGCAGGCCUAACACAUGCAAGUCGAGCGGAGCGGCGGACGGGUGAGUAAUACCUAGGAAUCUGCCUGAUAGUGGGGGAUAACGUUCGGAAACGGACGCUAAUACCGCAUACUAUCAGAUGAGCCUAGGUCGGAUUAGCUAGUUGGUGAGGUAAUGGCUCACCAAGGCUACGAUCCGUAACUGGCCUGAGAGGAUGAUCAGUCACCCGGGAACGGGAACGGGGUCCAGCCGCCUGCGGGCGGCAGCAGUGGGGAAUAUUGGAAAAGGGGCGAAGGCCUGAGCCAGCCAUGCCGCGUGUGUGAAGAAGGUCUUGGGAUUGAAAAGCACUUUAGGUGGGGAGAGGUAACCGACAGAAUAAGCACCGGCUAACACGGGGCCAGCAGCCGCGUAAUUC